GCUCUCGAAAUCACAAUUCGUCCUCCUCCGAAUAGAAAAAUCAAAAAUAGUUUUUCUUCUUUUCGAUUUUCGCAACAGCUGUAUUUCCGACUCUGGCCCUGCAUGACCAUAGUCACACGCACGACCACAGCCACAAUCAUGUGGAAAGGCCUAAAAAGCUAGCUCACCAACCAAAAAGCAAGUCGGAAAGUAAGGACAGCCCAGAAAAGGAAAAGACGGAAGCCCAUGCAAAGCAAAAGCACAAAAACAAAUCGGAUAACAAGUAGAAAUGAAGCGCAGCAAUGUCUUAACUGUGGGAUAUAUCAAAGGGUGGGAACCAAAAGAGUGAUAGAUCCAUUAGUCUCAAUAUAAAUUAAAACAGAAUUUUUUUAAAAUAAAUAAAGCCAAAUAAUUGUUAUUUUUAAAAUACAUGAUUCUGUAUGAAAAUCAUCGCCCAUUUGUAUAUAAAACAAUUUUAAUAAUUUCAUUGUUAAAAUAAUAGUGACUAAAUUAUGAUUGUAAAUAUUCCAAUGGUUACAAUAUUUUAUAUAAUUAAAAUUCUAUAAAUUACGAUGUAUGUCCAUUACAGCAUACUGUGAAGUUAUUUUAUUCUAGAGUUGAAGUAUCGAUCCUUUAAAAUAUUUAUAUAGGUAUUAAUCCCAAAAUUAAAUAAGAGUUUUUACUGUUUUUCUAGUCAUAUCGAGAACAUAUAUUUUAAUUAACUUAGAAAUACAAUUUACCUAAUUUAAAAAAAAAAAACAAAAAAAAAACAAGGGGGCAUGCAUAAAUUGAACAUAGUUUAUAUGUGUGUCACAUGAUGUAAGGUGUUUGGAAUUUUUGAAAUCCAAUAAAUCAUAUUUAAUUAUGUUAAACUACAUAAUAUUGUCAUUGAAUUAAUUCAAAUUAUUUUCUAUACGUCAAUGUGAUAGCAAAGCUUUACCUUGAGCGUAGAAUUUAGAUUUUAUAUCAGAUGAACUUUAUUGUGACACCAAUAUUAAAACGAAAGUUCUACCAUAAAAACGUUUAUUGUUAAGAUAAGAGAGCACGUCUGGAUGAUUGCCUUUAUGUGUAAAAUGCUCAAUAAUUCAAUUACGAAAAAAACAUCAUCAAGUCAGUCCAGGGAUAACCCAUUUAUUCACAAUUUCCUUCCUUAAAAAGAAAAAUAAACUAGGUUUCAAUUGGUGCUAUAUCAGUAACUGCCAGGAAAACCAAGUUUCCUUUUGACAGACAUUCUAGCGUGAAUAACAAGGGAUUAAUAUACUUUACAUUUCCAGUCAACCCGUUAACAACACUGAAAUCAAAGAUCUUGAAAGUGACAUAUCUAAGAAGAGAAUGUUUAAAAUUUCAAAAGACUAGUAUGAAUGACAGUAUGAGUGUCUCAAUAUUUGAAGAAAAAAAAAAAAAUUAAAAAUCGAUGUUCUCAAAUAACAUAGUUUAAGGUUUUAUUAUAAUUUACUAAAAUUUAAACUUCCAUGCUGCCGUUCAAAAUAUUUUGUCCGUAUCAUUCAUUCCUAGUGGAUCUUAAGAAAUUAUGUGUAAUAUGUAAAUUGUUUAACAUAAAAAAUUAAACAUUCCUAUACUUUCCCGCUUCUUGUAACUCACUUAGUUCAAUAGUGCUAAUUAGUGUUUUGAUUUAAUGUUUUAAAUGUAAAUGUUUCACUUAAUUUUAAUUGUAGCAAAUUAACACCCAAUCCAACUACAUAAUGGAGUACAAAUAAAGGCAAUUUGUAUUAAU
rnacentral:misc_RNA from 1 species